rnacentral:rRNA from 1 species
GAAAUUUCAUUCGCACUAGUGAUAGCUAGUUUUUCUGGAAAGAUAUAAAAGUGUCGGGAAAAGAUAUAAUUCUAUAAUAUUAAUCAUUAUAUAUUACAUAUGCUUUUCACUAAUUUUUUUGAGGAUAAGCUCAAAAAAGAGUUAAGAAUUUUUUAAUUAAAUUUACUGUAUGGGCUUAAAAUUGGUCAAUAUAAAAGUUUUUUAUAAAAUAGUAACCUUAGUCUUAUAAAUAAAUAUAAUUUUAACUAACUUUUUACAGAGACAAAAACUUUAAUUUAAAUAAGUUUUAUGCCUAUGCUAGAAUGAGUAUUAAAACUUAAUUAUGAAAGAUUUAUUUGUAUCUUCCUAAAAAAAAAAUUAAAAAAGUUAAUUAAUUAGAAGGAACUCGGCAAAUUUAGUUGUUUCGCCUGUUUAUCAAAAACAUGGCUCUUUGAUUAUAUAAAUAUAAAGAGUCGGACCUGCCC